AUUGAACGCUGGCGGCAUGCUUUACACAUGCAAGUCGAACGGUAACAGGCCGCAAGGUGCUGACGAGUGGCGAACGGGUGAGUAACGCAUCGGAACGUGCCCAGUCGUGGGGGAUAACGCAGCGAAAGCUGCGCUAAUACCGCAUACGCUCUACGGUUGAAAGCGGGGGACCGUAACGCCUCGCGAGAAUGGACCGGGCGAUGUCAGAAUAGGUAGUUGGUGGGGUAAAGGCUCACCAAGCCAACGAUCUGUAGCUGGUCUGAGAGGACAACCAGCCACACUGGGACUGAGACACGGCCCAGACUCCUACGGGAGGCAGCAGUGGGGAAUUUUGGACAAUGGGCGCAAGCCUGAUCCAGCAAUGCCGCGUGCAGGAAGAAGGCCUUCGGGUUGUAAACUGCUUUUGUACGGAACGAAACGGUCCUGGUUAAUACCCGGGGCUAAUGACGGUACCGUAAGAAUAAGCACCGGCUAACUACGUGCCAGCCGCCGCAGUAAUAC
rnacentral:rRNA from 1 species